UUUUUGGACCCUAUAAAAAGUAACUCCUGCCCAGUGAAUUAAAUUUUCAACGGCCGCGGUAUCCUAACCGUGCAAAGGUAGCAUAAUCAUUUGCCCAUUAAUUGUGGGCUAGAAUGAAAGGAUUAACGAAAUAAUAACUGUCUCUAUAAAUUUAACAAAAAUUAUCAUCUAACUGAAGAUUGUUAGAUUAAAUUGAAGGACAAGAAGACCCUAUAGAGCUUUAUUUUAAUUUGUAUAUUACAAUUAUAAAUUCGGUUGGGGCGACCGGGGAAAAUUAAUAAUCAUCCCCAAAACUAAGAUUUAUUAAUCUAUUUAUAUGACCCUUCUAAGAUCUAAAAAACAAGCUACCUUAGGGAUAACAGGCUAAUCCUACUUAAGAGUCCUUAUCUAUAGUGGGGGUUGGCACCUCGAUGUUGGCUUAGGAAAUCUAUAUAGCGCAAAAGCUAUAUAAAGAUGGUUUGUUCAACCAAUAAUAUCCUACAUGAGCUGAGUUCAGACCGGCGUAAGCCAGGUUAGUUUCUAUCCUCAACAAUAAAUUUAUUUACAGUACGAAAGGACCUAAAUAAAAUAACAAUUAUAAUUCAAGAACCAAUAUAAUAUAAAUUUAUAAACAUAACAUAUUAAAAAUA
rnacentral:rRNA from 1 species